AGUCUGCAACUCGACUCCAUGAAGUCGGAAUCGCUAGUAAUCGCAGAUCAGCAUUGCCUGCGGUGAAUACGUUCCCGGGUCUUGUACACACCGCCCGGUCACACCAUGGGAGUUGAUUGCACCAGAAGCAGGUAGCCUGACCGCAAGGGGGGCGCCUACCACGGUGUGGUCAA
rnacentral:rRNA from 1 species